rnacentral:rRNA from 1 species
GAGUUUGAUCCUGGCUCAGGGCGAACGCUGGCGGCGUGCUUAACACAUGCAAGUCGAACGAGAAUCUACUGAAAGAGUUUUUCGGACAAUGGAAGUAGAGGAAAGUGGCGGACGGGUGAGUAACGCGUGAGGAACCUGCCUUGAAGAGGGGGACAACAGUUGGAAACGACUGCUAAUACCGCAUGAUGCAUAAGGGUCGCAUGAUUCUUAUGCCGAAGAUUUAUCGCUUCAAGAUGGCCUCGCGUCUGAUUAGCUAGUUGGCGGGGUAACGGCCCACCAAGGCGACGAUCAGUAGCCGGACUGAGAGGUUGAACGGCCACAUUGGGACUGAGAUACGGCCCAGACUCCUACGGGAGGCAGCAGUGGGGAAUAUUGGGCAAUGGGCGCAAGCCUGACCCAGCAACGCCGCGCGAAGGAAGAAGGCUUUCGGUAUGUAAACUUCUAUCAGCAGGGAAGGAAAAUAGACGGUACCUGACUAAGAAGACCCGGCCUAACUACGUGCCAGCAGCCGCGGUAA